rnacentral:sRNA from 1 species
GCCAGGUGCAGUGGAGCAUGCCUGUAAUCCCAGCAGCUUGGGAGGCUGAGGCAGGAGGAUUGUGAGUUCAAAGCCAGCCUCAGCAACUCAGUGAGACCCUGUCUCUA